UACGUAGGGGGCAAGCGUUGUCCGGAAUUAUUGGGCGUAAAGAGCGCGUAGGCGGUCCGGUAAGUCGGUUGUGAAAGUCGGGGGCUCAACCCUCGGAUGCCGAUCGAUACUGUCGGGCUAGAGUCCGGAAGAGGCGAGUGGAAUUCCUGGUGUAGCGGUGAAAUGCGCAGAUAUCAGGAGGAACACCAAUGGCGAAGGCAGCUCGCUGGGACGGUACUGACGCUGAGGCGCGAGAGCGUGGGGAUCAAACAGG
rnacentral:rRNA from 1 species